rnacentral:rRNA from 1 species
GUUAGAGGGUUUCCGCCCUUUAGUGCUGAAGUUAACGCAUUAAGCACUCCGCCUGGGGAGUACGGCCGCAAGGCUGAAACUCAAAGGAAUUGACGGGGGCCCGCACAAGCGGUGGAGCAUGUGGUUUAAUUCGAAGCAACGCGAAGAACCUUACCAGGUCUUGACAUCCUCUGAAAACUCUAGAGAUAGAGCUUCUCCUUCGGGAGCAGAGUGANCAGGUGGUGCAUGGUUGUCGUCAGCUCGUGUCGUGAGAUGUUGGGUUAAGUCCCGCAACGAGCGCAACCCUUGAUCUUAGUUGCCAUCAUUAAGUUGGGCACUCUAAGGUGACUGCCGGUGACAAACCGGAGGAAGGUGGGGAUGACGUCAAAUCAUCAUGCCCCUUAUGACCUGGGCUACACACGUGCUACAAUGGACGGUACAAAGAGCUGCAAGACCGCGAGGUGGAGCUAAUCUCAUAAAACCGUUCUCAGUUCGGAUUGUAGGCUGCAACUCGCCUACAUGAAG